rnacentral:tRNA from 1 species
GCUCCCAUAGCUCAGCCGGUAGAGCGCUUCCAUGGUAAGGAAGAGGUCACCAGUUCGAGUCUGGUUGGGAGCU